CCGAGACGUAUUCAGUAUAUGUUAAGCAGGCGCGCGCGAUACGAGUUGUCACGUUUUACCUUUCGCGAGCGCGCCGCCAUCGCGCAUCGUCGCCGCCGACGACGCGAUCAGCGUCUCUCUCUCUCUCUCUUCCCCGAUAAUGCAUCUCGAACGAUAAGAUCGCGCGUUUUUUUCACGCGUGCCACGGACAUAUACAUGAAAUUUGAAAAACUAAGUGCGCGGCACCGAUAAGCGGGAGAAGCGCUCCGGUUCUCAUUCUUCCUCACUUUCCGCGACCGUGACUCACAGUUUUUAAAAGCCGCGCGUGUCCGAGAGCCGCGAGGGGAAAAAUGUCGCGACGAAAGUGAAGAUUCGAAACGGAUCUCGUGUUCUCGCGAUCCAACCACCGAUUCCUCGCUCCCUCCCCGUCAUCCUUCUCACCAUCCUUUCCUCCCGUAUUAUUUAUCGUUUCCUCUCACUCGACUUCCAUCCCGUUUCUCCCUCGCGCUCCACUCGUUCCUCUUCUCGUCGUACUUCUUCUCCCUCUCCCCAUCUCUCUCGCACUCUCCUUCUCUCUCCUUCGCACCGACGUCGUCUCGUGGGGUCAGUGUCUGCUCGAUCGGAUCCUGAGCAGGAACAUACCGGCGGACGAGGAGGAAGAGGUGGAGGAGAGGACGAUCUCUUUCCCUCGGCGCGGCCCUCCCUCGGAGACCGCAACCGUUGCGACGCGCGCUCGCGAGCGAGCGAGCGCGCGCGCGCGCGCACCACGUCCUUCGAGAGUCAUUUUCGGAGCGCGCUCCGUUUUUCGCGCACCGCGCCACGCGACCACCACCGCGAGACCGCGAGCGGCAGAAAUGUGAUGAUGUGACUGACGUCGAGCGGGGCAAACGCGCGUCAUCGCGGGGCCAUCGUCGCUCGAGGAUCGACGCCGAAGCGGAUUGAUUGUCGCGCCGACUUCGGACACGCGACCUCCCCGCCUGUCCCGUUCGCGGUGGCGGUGCAGGAAAUUGUGAUUUGUGGUGCCCGGCUCGCUCCUUAUCACGCUCGCUCCUUGCGUAGUAUCACUCGCCUUUUUUCUGCUCAUUCCCGUGCCUCCCCUCCCCCCCUCACUCUCUCUCUUUCUUUCCUCUUUCUCCGGUAUCAUUUCUCGUCUCCGUUCCUCGCGCGCGUUUUUUCCAUCUCCCGCUCCGUCGGCCUCCUCUUCCUCCGUCACACCUCGCGGCCGUCUUACGUCGUCUCGCUCGCUCGCUCGCUCGCGCGCCGCGUGUUUUCUCGCGAGCGAAUGCGAGAAGAAGGAGAAUCGGCGGGCGAUUGAUACCGCGAGAGAAAGAGACAUACGCCGCCUCUCGGAGGAGGGAACGAGAUCGGAGUAGCCGCGAGUUUGUGUUUUUGUUUAUCACGGACGGACUGCACCGGUAUAUAUAACUAUACACCGCGCUGCGCUGGUGCGCGAGAGGAAGUUGCAAGUGGACGCCCAUCGGAAGGACGAUUCGUUGCCGGAGGCGUUCGAGAAAGAUCGUUACCGUCGUUCAGGAGUCAUGGCCUUCUGUUUUGUGAAAACGGAACAAAUUUCCGUAGUUUGAACUUGAGCAUCGUGCUGCUUCGAUUCGUGCGAGGAUUACUGAUCUCGGAAAUUUCUUCGAGGGAGAAGAGGAAGAAAAGGCAGCCUUUGAAGAAGUGACAUAGGAACCCAAAGAAAUAAAAGGCGGAGAUAAACGAUGGAACAUGAGGAAACGCGGUGCCGGCUGGUACUAGACGAGCGGUCGGCCACGCUUGCACCUCAUCGUCGGUCGUCGUUGUCGACGAGUUCCCGGUACGUCCAAUCCCGAAGCAAGCGGCAGGUGUCGCGUGUGACAGCAGACACGAGCUCGAUAGGUGCGAUAAUCGAGGGUGGCCCGGUCGUUGCCGCCGCCGGGCCGGCGAUGCGACGAUGAGCUCGCCGAGGGUGCUGCUACCCCUCCACACCCGACCAAAGCCCCGCGUAAUACCAAGGCCGGGUAGUCUCGAAAACUGCAUCAACGAGGCCGAGCGACGAGGAGCGGUAGGCGGUUCAAGGCCGAAACUAUCCGCGUGGCCAUGGACCACGAGGCGAGGAACGGAACCGGCAGCAACGACAACGAGGAGUACACCAAUAUUUACUUCAUCGUCGGCGACCGCAGGGAGACGGCCACUUACAAAGCGAAUCAGGUCACGGACAUGGAAC